rnacentral:rRNA from 1 species
CCUACGGGUGGCUGCAGUGGGGAAUAUUGCACAAUGGGGGAAACCCUGAUGCAGCGACGCCGCGUGAGUGAAGAAGUAUUUCGGUAUGUAAAGCUCUGUCAGCAGGGAAGUAAAUGACGGUACGUGACCAAGAAGCCACGGCUAACUACGUUCCAGCAGCCGCGGUACUACGUAGGGGGCACGCGUUAUCCGGAUUUACUGGGUGUAAAGGGAGCGUAGACGGCAGGGCAAGUCUGGAGUGAAAGGCGGGGGCUCAACCCCCGGACUGCACUGGAAACUGUCAGGCUGGAGUGCAGGAGAGGUAAGUGGAAUUCCUGGUGUAGCGGUGAAAUGCGUAGAUAUCAGGAGGAACACCGGUGGCGAAGGCAGCUUACUGGACUGUAACUGACGUUGAGGCUCGAAAGCGUGGGGAGCAAACAGGAUUAGAUACCCCUGUAGUC